rnacentral:rRNA from 1 species
CGCGUAGGCUGUCAAACAAGUCAGGUGUGAAAUCCCCGCGCUUAACGUGGGCAUUGCAUUUGAAACUAUGUAGCUAGAGUUCUGUAGAGGGGGGUAGAAUUCCAGGUGUAGCGGUGAAAUGCGUAGAGAUCUGGAGGAAUACCGAUUGCGAAGGCAGCCCCCUGGACAGUGACUGACGCUCAUAUGCGAAAGCGUGGGGAUCAAACAGGAUUAGAUACCCUCGUA